rnacentral:tRNA from 1 species
AGCUUUAUAUUCAAUAAUGAUAUAAAAUUGCAAAUUUUAAGGGGUAAAAUUAUUUACUAAGGCUU